rnacentral:rRNA from 1 species
UGGCGGACGGGUGAGUAAUGUCUGGGAAACUGCCCGAUGGAGGGGGAUAACUACUGGAAACGGUAGCUAAUACCGCAUAACGUCGCAAGACCAAAGAGGGGGACCUUAGGGCCUCUUGCCAUCGGAUGUGCCCGGAUGGGAUUAGCUAGUAGGUGGGGUAACGGCUCACCUAGGCGACGAUCCCUAGCUGGUCUGAGAGGAUGACCAGCCACACUGGAACUGAGACACGGUCCAG